ACUGCUCAGUAACACGUGGACAACCUGCCCUUAGGUUGGGUAUAAACCCGGGAAACUGGGUAUAAUACCCGAUAGGUCUCGAUUGCUGGAAUGCAUCGAGAUUUAAAGCUCCGGCGCCUAAGGAUGGGUCUGCGGCCUAUCAGGUAGUAGUGGGUGUAGCGUACCUACUAGCCAACAACGGGUACGGGUUGUGAGAGCAAGAGCCCGGAGAUGGAUUCUGAGACAUGAAUCCAGGCCCUACGGGGCGCAGCAGGCGCGAAAACUUUACAAUGCGGGAAACCGUGAUAAGGGAACACCGAGUGCCAGCAUCAUAUGCUGGCUGUCCAGAUGUGUAAACUACAUCUGUUAGCAAGGGCCGGGCAAGACCGGUGCCAGCCGCCGCGGUAACACCGGCGGCCCGAGUGGUGACCGUUAUUAUUGGGUCUAAAGGGUCCGUAGCCGGUUUGGUCAGUCCUCCGGGAAAUCUGAUAGCUUAACUGUUAGGCUUUCGGGGGAUACUGCCAGGCUUGGAACCGGGAGAGGUAAGAGGUACUACAGGGGUAGGAGUGAAAUCUUGUAAUCCCUGUGAGACCACCUGUGGCGAAGGCGUCUUACCAGAACGGGUUCGACGGUGAGGGACGAAAGCUGGGGGCACGAACCGGAUUAGAUACCCGGGUAGUCCCAGCCGUAAACUAUGCUCGCUAGGUGUCAGGCAUGGCGCGACCGUGUCUGGUGCCGCAGGGAAGCCGUGAAGCGAGCCACCUGGGAAGUACGGCCGCAAGGCUGAAACUUAAAGGAAUUGGCGGGGGAGCAC
rnacentral:rRNA from 1 species